AAAUAGUUUGUCCUCUUGUGUUUCACUAGAAGGGCUGAGGGUGGUAGAGACCUCUCUGUGGGGUGCAAAUCCAGGUACCACUGUUGUUAGUUCGGGUGGAUCAGUGGUGAAGAGCAGUACUAUGGUAAGCCGGACAGCUGGUUAGUACUCCCACCUUCACCUGUGGUCUGAACGAAGUCCCUGGAACAGGUUGCCCAGAGAUGUGGUGGAUGUCCCGCCCCUGGGGACAUUCAAAGUCAGGCUGGUCAGGGCAAUCUGAUCUAGCUGUAUGUAUCUCUGUUCAUUAUGGGGAAGUUGGACUAGAUGACCUUUGAAGGUCCUCUCCAACUCAAGUGAUUCUGUGAUUCUGUGAUCUUCACAUGGUUUCCAAGCAAGACAGUCUGGUUUUUCCUGGACCUUGCUCCAUGACAGCAACCCAUGGAUCAUGAUUCCCAUCCUUCAUCAGGUUUUUAAAAAACUAAGACGUGAGCUCCUUUUGGCCAGAGCUCUCUUCUGCUGAUGAUUGGAUUUCAGUGCACUUACUUUGAAAAGUCCCUUGUUAGGAGCUCAAGAGAUGGAACAGGGACACUGUAAUAUGAAGGAGCUUACCAGUCCAUCUCCAACAACUGGAAGUCAGUGAGAGAGCUUGUCUCUGUCUCAACCAAAUAUGAAAAUAAAUUGGGAACUUUGUCUCCUCAGAAUACUGUGUGAACGCUGCCAGCUCACCAUGGCUGAUUAGGAUGGUCUCUUCAUCACUCAACCUGACCCCAGCAACACAACAUGGAAAAGCAUCAAUUCAGCUCCUCCUUUUUGUCACAGAAUUUCACAAAGGGCUGGCUUAGAAAGAAUCAGAGUGAAAUGAGAGUCCAGAAAAGCAAAUGGGAGAAGUGUCCUAGCCCUGUGACAAGGGUAUCCAGCAUGAUGGAAAGGAAGACUCCAAAAAUCUCAGAAAGCUGGUUAAAAAAAAAAAGGAAGAUGAAGAAGAAAAAUAAUUAGAGAUUUAUAAUUGGCAAAACUAUUGUUGCAGGACAUGAAAAGAGGAAAGAAGUUAACAUGAAAAUGCUCAGCAACUCCAGAGUUAAUAUGCUGAGGCGAGAAUGUCCCCGGAGAAAGCCUCUGAUAUUCAGUUGGAUGUAGAGACUGAACUCCAGCAGUGUGGGAACCUACUUGUAUAGUUAGUAGCUAUUUUCUUAGGAAAUAAGUACCAUCUGACUAAUUAUAAACCCAAAGUUAUUCACUGAAUCCAAGAAGCCUCACUGACGUCAGCGGGGCCAGGAAUCCGUCUCUUUAUUCCUGUGUUCAAUGCCUAUAUAUUGUUUUCAUGCAGCUGUAAAGAUCUCCUUUAUGCAUUUUCUUGAUUUUUCUCUUGCUCAUUCAUCCUGAUUCAUCCUCCUCUGCUUGGAGCUCCUUGAAUAUCCUAUAAGAAGCCCACACACUCAGACACAUUCUUGUCCAAGCCUACAUUGCAGUAUAUUUGUCCAACUAAUUUUUACUGAAAUGAAGUUCCUGCUUUGCACAAUUGCCAAGAGCAAUUGUUUUGGUGAAUCAUAAAUACUGCAGAAAGGAAAUGUUUGUUCAGGUUGUUUGUUUCUGCCUUUGGCAGAUUAAGCCAUAACAGUACACACAUCCCUCAAGAAGCUAAGAUUUUAAUUUGGAGAAUAAACUACAGUGACAAUGUCA
rnacentral:lncRNA from 1 species